AACAUCCAUUUUGAGUUAAAUAUUAUAUAUGAUGAAUAAUAUAGAUUGAAGUUCUCUUUUUCAUAUCACUAAUUUUGAAAAGGCCAUUUUUGCUGCAUUGCCUUUGCAGCUAUAGUAGAAAUCAGUUGCCACAUAUGAGGGUCUAUUUUUGUUCCAUUGAUCUAUUUCUAUAUAUUCACACCAAAACUAUAGUCUUGAUUGCUGUAACUUUUUCAUAAGUUUGAAAUUGGAUAGCAUUAUUUU
rnacentral:lncRNA from 1 species